rnacentral:tRNA from 1 species
GCUUCUGUAGUUCAAUGGCAGAACUCCGGCCUUGUAACCCGGAAAUUACGGUUCGAGUCCGUACAGAAGCU